GAUAUGGUGGAUUAGUGGUUAGCAUGUUUGCCUUGCACCUCCACGGUUGAGGGUUCAAUUCCCACCUUUGCCU